rnacentral:rRNA from 1 species
CCCUUUGAUGUUCUGGGCCGCACGCGCGCUACACUGGCGAAUGCAACGAGCUUAUAACCUUGGCCGAAAGGUCUGGGUAAUCUCCAAAUUUCGUCGUGAUGGGGAUAGAUUAUUGCAAUUAUUAAUCUUCAACGAGGAAUGCCUAGUAAGCGCAAGUCAUCAGCUUGCGUUGAUUACGUCCCUGCCCUUUGUACACACCGCCCGUCGCUCCUACCGAUUGAAUGGUCCGGUGAAGCGUUCGGACCGUGGCCUUUGGACGGUUCGCCGUCUGUUGGCUGCGGGAAGUUCGUUAAACCUUAUCAUUUAGAGGAAGGAGAAGUCGUAACA